GCGUAGGUGGUGCAGUGGGUAAAAGCAUGCCCCCUCCCCGUGCCUGGGUGAAGUGCGGGUUCAGCUCCCGCCCAAUGCC